rnacentral:lncRNA from 1 species
ACACGAUAUAUGCAAAAUUAGUAAAAGGUAGUUGGGCAGCUAAGUGGCACAGUGAAUAGAGUUCUGGAUCUGGAGUUAGGAAAACUCAUCUUGUCCACUGUACACCUUUGGUGCAAAGGCAUUAUCAGCUUCUUCACUUUGAAGGAUCAUUGGGAAGAAAAACAGAACUUGGGAAGAGGUUCCUAACUCAGAAAAUAAAGAUAUCAAGUGUACUGUGGCUGUCUUUGCAAAGAACUGCAAGAUUCCUAACCCUGGAGAAAAAUAAUAGCAGGACUUUGGAUACAAAUUUUUUUCUAACCAAAGAAAAAGUUUCAAGUGUAUAUGAACCUCUGGGAAACUCAAUCUGGGCAGUUUUGAAUAGACAGUUUGUUUCUUUGAUCCAAAAGGAAAGAGAGAGGAGAUAUCUCACUAGAAGUACCACAUACAUAGGAGCACAAGAGCCAAGAGAUACUGAACUCACAAUUCAUGAUAGUCGAGAGAUGGAUACAGGAACUAGAAAGGGAUCAGUUGCAUCCUAG